rnacentral:lncRNA from 1 species
GACAUUCCCAAACUUGUGGGUGGAAGAGAGUUUGGGCUUGAAGAAGGUUUUUUGGUGCACCACAUAUAUUGUAGAAAAAUAUAACUAUUGUAACGAAUAUCGAGGCCUAACUCAUCCCCACAAAACCGGCUUGUAAGGUGAUGAUUGUCUCCUCUUUAUAAACUCUUAUCAAGAAUCCUAUCUAUCCGAUGCGGGACUAAAUCCCACCCGAGUGUUGGCUGCUAACAACUAUCACGCCAUAUGAUGUUAGCUUUGUAGAGCGGUUGUGACUUGUGACAUCUUAUCAAAGAAUCAUUCCUCUACCUGUAAUUGUGAGCGUUGAACAGGGAGAUGAUAAGAAACUAUACUUCAAUAGGUCGGAAUCCUAGUU